ensembl:lncRNA TNK2-AS1 TNK2 antisense RNA 1
CCCUGCCCCCACCCCAGAAGGAGAAAACCCAGCGCUCGGAUUCCCAGCGGCGGGGCAGCCUGCAGGCCCUGUUCCCAGCCCACAGACCCAUGUCCCAGCCCAAACGGAGGCAGCCCUGGGCAGCGGGCGCGUGGAGCCCAAGGGCUCAGGGCCACUCAGCCCUUGUUACUGUCCCUCAUCUAGAAAAUGGAUGUAAUAACAAAACAGUUCACGGUAAUACACCCAGCACCCAGAUCAAGAAAUGGAACAUAACCAGCACCCCAGAACCCUACCCUAAAAAUGUAAUUUAAAAAAAAAGAUUUUAAUAAAUAUCUUUUAGCGUGCCCUUUA